GAAACUUCAGGUGUUUAUAGCACAGCUGCAUCUACAGCAAACUUGGGGCUUUGGCUAUACUUGAACACAGACUUUGGAAUUGUCCAUGU
rnacentral:sRNA from 1 species